rnacentral:misc_RNA from 1 species
AACAUUGGAGGAGGAAGUAAAUUCGAGCUGGACCGGGAAGGACGAAAUGGUGAACCUAUGUCAGCAAUGCGCACCAGGUUGAGAAGGCCGCAGGCGUUCUUAGGAGGUAACAGGUUCAGACUUAACGGUGUAAUACCCCCACUAUCUUUAGCAUUUCUUCUACUGUCGUCGGUCUCCUCGGUCAAGGACACGCUGAAUCAGAAUAUAUAGACUUACCGCAAAAUGGAACCCCUUCCGGUGUCCAAGAGCCAUCAAUCUGACACUGUCUCCGCGCAGGACCAAGGAGUUCAAACCCACGUUCGCAAGAAUACGUAGCCACUGUGCCCUCGGGCAGUAUCGUGUCCUUUAGAAGAGCAUCCUCUUCGUCUAUAACGUCUUCGGCACCUGUUCCUGUGAACCGAACGCUACUAUGUGCAGGAGCCCCAGGGUAACCGCAUCCGGCACCGUUGCAGCCUGUAAUUCAAUACAAAGACACGAUCAUUAUCAAGUAACUGACAGCGGUUAUCAGACUUUAAUGUGUUAAACAGUAAUGUAAACGCGGAUGACCUAA